rnacentral:ncRNA from 1 species
GCAGAGUAUCCGAGGCGCGUUAAGUGUUGCGAAACGGGACGUUGUUCGCAAACGAAAGGGCUUUGCCCUGCGGUGCCGAGGAGCGUCCGUUG